AACAAACGCUGGCGGCGUGUCUUAAGCAUGCAAGUCGAGCGGUAGGCGUAGCAAUACGCUGAGAGCGGCGGACUGGUGAGUAACGCGUGGAUGAUCUACCGUUAGGGCAUGGGGAUAGCCACUAGAAAUAGUGGGUAAUACCGAAUACGUUUGCACAGGUGAAGCUGUAGUAAAGAAAGGAUCCUACGGGGUCGGCCUAACGAUGAGUCUGCGUCCCAUUAGCUAGUUGGUGAGGUAAAGGCCCACCAAGGCGAUGAUGGGUAGCCGGCCUGAGAGGGUGUACGGCCACACUGGGACUGAGAUACGGCCCAGACUCCUACGGGAGGCAGCAGCUAAGAAUAUUCCGCAAUGGACGAAAGUCUGACGGAGCGACGCCGCGUGGAUGAAGAAGGCCGCAAGGUUGUAAACUUCUUUUCCAGGGGGUGAAUAAUUCCGAUGUAUCGGGAGAUGACGGUACCCUGGGAAUAAGCAUCGGCUAACUCCGUG
rnacentral:rRNA from 1 species